rnacentral:rRNA from 1 species
GACGAACGCUGGCGGCGUGCCUAAUACAUGCAAGUAGAACGCUGAAGGAGGAGCUUGCUUCUCUGGAUGAGUUGCGAACGGGUGAGUAACGCGUAGGUAACCUGCCUGGUAGCGGGGGAUAACUAUUGGAAACGAUAGCUAAUACCGCAUAAUAGUAGAUGUCGCAUGACAUUUGCUUAAAAGGUGCAAUUGCAUCACUACCAGAUGGACCUGCGUUGUAUUAGCUAGUUGGUGAGGUAACGGCUCACCAAGGCAACGAUACAUAGCCGACCUGAGAGGGUGAUCGGCCACACUGGGACUGAGACACGGCCCAGACGCCUACGGGAGGCAGCAGUAGGGAAUCUUCGGCAAUGGACGGAAGUCUGACCGAGCAACGCCGCGUGAGUGAAGAAGGUUUUCGGAUCGUAAAGCUCUGCUGUAAGAGAAGAACGAGUGUGAGAGUGGAAAGUUCACACUGUGACGGUAGCUUACCAGAAAGGGACGGCUAACUACGUG